rnacentral:rRNA from 1 species
GAUGAACGCUAGCUACAGGCUUAACACAUGCAAGUCGAGGGGCAGCAUGGUCUUAGCUCGCUAAGACCGAUGGCGACCGGCGCACGGGUGAGUAACGCGUAUCCAACCUUCCGCAUACUCGGGAAUAGCCUUUCGAAAGAAAGAUUAAUGCCCGAUGGUUUCCCGAAUCCGCAUGAGAACGGGAAUAAAGAUUCAUCGGUAUGCGAUGGGGAUGCGUCCCAUUAGCUUGUUGGCGGGGUAACGGCCCACCAAGGCUACGAUGGGUAGGGGUUCUGAGAGGAAGGUCCCCCACAUUGGAACUGAGACACGGUCCAAAACUCCUACGGGAGGCAGCAGUAGGGAAUCUUCCACAAUGGGUGAAAACCUGAUGGAGCAAUGCCGCGUGAGUGAAGAAGGUCUUCGGAUCGUAAAGUUCUGUUAUUAAGAGAAGAACAAGUCAAAGGAGUAACUGUCUUGACUUUGACGGUACCUAACCAGAAAGUCACGGCUAACUACGUGCCAGCAGCCGCGGU